UAGUCCUGCAUUGGACCCUCAAAAAGGCCAGAAGUCAUCGCAGAAACACAGAACGAGUUUGAAAAUUAUUUUGAGCAGUUACUGAUAAUAAAAUCAGGCCUUAUUGAAAACGUGGUUUCUACAAUCUCUCAGGCAAGUCUCAGGCAGAGAUGAUUGGAAAAACCCACUCGGAACUGUAUAGAAAUCCUCUAAGUUCUCAAACAUUUAGAAACACAGCCCAAAAUUCGUCAAGAGCUUGCAACAUAAAAUUUGUUAUUUGCGAUUACAACUUUAUUGGAUAUGGUAGUGCUCAAGUGACGUUGGGAGAUCUUUAAUCGUGGCGGCAAUAUUCUAAUGAGCUAUGAUGUCGAUAUGGAAAUUGGCAAUCUUGUCUCUCUGAAUUUUCAACCAAUGGCAGUUUAUCAUCCAAAAACCAACCUAAUUUCAGAAGACGUCCACUGAAAAACUAUAAAUAAUACAAUAACUGCCUUGCACAACAAACCCUCACAUCAAUUUGUCAGAAAGAACCAUAAUACCGCUCCGCUGAAAUUUUAUAAUCUCAAGAUCAAGUAUAGAUCAUUACACAAUUUUCAUUACCCCAGAGGCUUAUCAUUCAGAUCCGCAGUGUAUAUGAUUCAAAUAAAAUGACCCGUAUGUCAUAAAGGACCGAAAUGUUACUCAAGAUAUUAACAUCAUGUCACUGGCUUUGACGACAUUAAGUAGUUUUGUCUUGAAAACUAGUAAUUUUUCAAUCGGUACUUGAGAAAAAGAAAUUUGAAUGUAAACAAGCAAAGAAAUCCAUGUAUAAAAUAUAAGUGCAUAACUUUUUUUAUUUCUGUUGAAAAUUAUUUAUAUUUCUGUUUUGAUUCUUGAUACAUGUACAAAUAAAC